rnacentral:rRNA from 1 species
CGGGACGGGUGAGUAAUGUAUGGGGAUCUGCCUGAUGGGCGGGGGAUAACUACUGGAAACGGUAGCUAAUACCGCAUAAUGUCUACGGACCAAAGCGGGGGACCUCCGGGCCUCGCGCCAUCAGAUGAACCCAUAUGGGAUUAGCUUGUAGGUAAGGUAACGGCUUACCUAGGCGACGAUCCCUAGCUGGUCUGAGAGGAUGAUCAGCCACACUGGGACUGAGACACGGCCCAG